rnacentral:rRNA from 2 species
UUGCCCUAGUAACGGCGAGUGAAGCGGCAACAGCUCAAAUUUGAAAUCUGGCGUCUUUGGCGUCCGAGUUGUAAUUUGCAGAGGGCGCUUUGGCAUUGGCAGCGGUCCAAGUUCCUUGGAACAGGACGUCACAGAGGGUGAGAAUCCCGUACGUGGUCGCUAGCCUUUACCGUGUAAAGCCCCUUCGACGAGUCGAGUUGUUUGGGAAUGCAGCUCUAAAUGGGAGGUAAAUUUCUUCUAAAGCUAAAUACUGGCCAGAGACCGAUAGCGCACAAGUAGAGUGAUCGAAAGAUGAAAAGCACUUUGGAAAGAGAGUUAAAAAGCACGUGAAAUUGUUGAAAGGGAAGCGCUUGCAGCCAGACUUGCCUGUAGUUGCUCAUCCGGGUUUUUACCCGGUGCACUCUUCUAUAGGCAGGCCAGCAUCAGUUUGGGCGGUUGGAUAAAGGUCUCUGUCAUGUACCUCCUUUCGGGGAGAUCUUAUAGGGGAGACGACAUGCAACCAGCCUGGACUGAGGUCCGCGCAUCUGCUAGGAUGCUGGCGUAAUGGCUGUAAGCGGCCCGUCUUGAAACACGGACCAAGGAGUCUAACAUCUAUGCGAGUGUUUGGGUGUCAAGCCCGAACGCGUAAUGAAAGUGAACGGAGGUGGGAACCUUUCGGGGUGCACCAUCGACCGAUCCUGAUGUCUUCGGAUGGAUUUGAGUAAGAGCAUAGCUGUUGGGACCCGAAAGAUGGUGAACUAUGCUUGAAUAGGGUGAAGCCAGAGGAAACUCUGGUGGAGGCUCGCAGCGGUUCUGACGUGCAAAUCGAUCGUCAAAUUUGGGCAUAGGGGCGAAAGACUAAUCGAACUAUCUAGUAGCUGGUUCCUGCCGAAGUUUCCCUCAGGAUAGCAGUAACGUUUUCAGUUUUAUGAGGUAAAGCGAAUGAUUAGAGGCAUGGGGGUUGAAACAACCUU